rnacentral:rRNA from 1 species
UACAGAGGUCUCGAGCGUUGUUCGGAUUCAUUGGGCGUAAAGGGCGCGUAGGCGGCGGGGUAAGUCUGGUGUGAAAUCUCGGAGCUCAACUCCGAAAUUGCACUGGAUACUGCUCUGCUAGAGGGCUGGAGAGGAGAUCGGAAUUCACGGUGUAGCAGUGAAAUGCGUAGAUAUCGUGAGGAAGACCAGUGGCGAAGGCAGCUCACUGGGACGGUACUGACGCUGAGACGCGAAAGCGUGGGGAGCAAACAGG